AGUUCGGAUUGUAGUCUGCAACCCGACUACAUGAAGCUGGAAUCGCUAGUAAUCGCGGAUCAGAAUGCCGCGGUGAAUACGUUCCCGGGUCUUGUACACACCGCCCGUCACACCAUGGGAGCCGGUAAUACCCGAAGUCAGUAGUCUAACCGCAAGGAGGACGCUGCCGAAGGUAGGAUUGGCGACUGGGGUGAAGUCGUAACAAGGUACC
rnacentral:rRNA from 1 species